AUUGAACGCUGGCGGCAGGCCUAACACAUGCAAGUCGAGCGGAUGAAGGGAGCUUGCUCCUGGAUUCAGCGGCGGACGGGUGAGUAAUGCCUAGGAAUCUGCCUGGUAGUGGGGGAUAACGUCCGGAAACGGGCGCUAAUACCGCAUACGUCCUGAGGGAGAAAGUGGGGGAUCUUCGGACCUCACGCUAUCAGAUGAGCCUAGGUCGGAUUAGCUAGUUGGUGGGGUAAAGGCCUACCAAGGCGACGAUCCGUAACUGGUCUGAGAGGAUGAUCAGUCACACUGGAACUGAGACACGGUCCAGACUCCUACAGGAGGCAGCAGUGGGGAAUAUUGGACAAUGGGCGAAAGCCUGAUCCAGCCAUGCCGCGUGUGUGAAGAAGGUCUUCGGAUUGUAAAGCACUUUAAGUUGGGAGGAAGGGCAGUAGGUUAAUACCUUGCUGUUUUGACGUUACCAACAGAAUAAGCACCGGCUAACUUCGUG
rnacentral:rRNA from 1 species